rnacentral:misc_RNA from 1 species
GAUGUAGAACGUAGCGAAAUGCGAUACUUGGUGUGAAUUGCAGAAUCCCGUGAACCAUCGAGUCUUUGAACGCAAGUUGCGCCCGAAGCCAUUAGGCCGAGGGCACGCCUGCCUGGGCGUCACACGUCGUUGCCCCCCCAUCUACUCCUUCGGGAUUGCGGGGGGCGGAUGAUGGCCUCCCGUGCGCCUCGUCGCGCGGUUGGCAUAAAUGCCAAGUCCUCGGCGACGCACGCCACGACAAUCGGUGGUUGCGAAACCUCGGUUGCCCGUCGUGUGCGGUCGUCGCGCAUCGAGGGCUCGAAAAAAUUGUCGGGCUCCGGCUCGGCUUUCAACGCGACCCCAGGUCAGGCGGGGUUACCCGCUGAAUUUAAGCAUAUCAAUAAGCGGAGA